rnacentral:tRNA from 1 species
GACCCCGUAGCUCAGGUGGAUAGAGCGGCGGUUUCCUAAACCGUAGGUCGGUGGUUCGAAUCCUCCCGGGGUCGCCA